rnacentral:misc_RNA from 1 species
CUUUUCUUUUGGUAGUACAAUGGAAGUGCCGUCUCCUAAAUUUUCUGGUUGUUCACAAGGACCUGAAGACGGACAAUAAGGUAAAAGUCCGAUUCAGAAAAUGGAUGAUCAGAAGACGCUUCUGAAACAAGUGUUCGGUGAAUCAUCAGACAGUGAAGACAACGACGAACAGCAACAACGAAUCGAAGAUUCAGUAUCCGGC